rnacentral:antisense_RNA from 1 species
ACGAGCCGGGUGGAGGUGCGGUGCAGGAAGUCCUGACGCGUGUUGUGCACCUUGCGGUGCGCACGAGCCACCCGCUGUUUGGCUUUGCGCCGGUUCACCGAACCGCGCUGCUUGCGCGCCAUCAUCCGCUGAUACCGGGCCAGGUUGCGGGCCUUGCGCUCCAGAUGACGGGGGUUUGCGAUCCGCUCACCGUCUGAGGUGACGGCGAAGUCCUUCACUCCGAGGUCAACGCCCACGGUGUGCCCGGUCUCCGGUUCGGGUACCGGGUCGUCGGUGUCGACGGCGAAGGUGACGUACCAGCGGCCGUCCGGUUCGCGGGAGAUGAUGACCAUCGUCGGAUUGAGCGUGGUGAUGUCGAUGUCGGGCCAGGACCACACGAACUCCAGCGGAGUGGUGGUCUUGGCCAGGUACAGAUUUCCGUCGCGCAUGCGGAAUGCGCUGCGGGUGUAGUGCGCCGACUGCCGCCCGUUGCGAGACUUGAAGCGCGGGUAGCGCGAGCGCCCGGCGAAGAAGUUCGCGAACGCGGUGUGUUGGUGCCGCAAGGUCUGCUGCAACGGCACGCUCGACACCUCGGACAAGAACGCCAGUUCCUCGG